CCUAGUAGUACUGAUACUGCUAUCAGGAAAAGGGAGUCUGGUUUGUUUGGCCAUAGGACAGACAGAACAAGGAAAAGGUUGUUUAGAAGCAAAUGGAAAGGACAAACCAGAAAUAUGUCUCAUAUUUGCAAAGGAAGUAUGUACUAGUCUUAAAUUCCAAAUGUAAUUCAUAUCAGUUGUAACAGCAUUAUUACAAAUGGAAUUAUGCACAGUUGAAGGCAAGGCAACAUCCUUGUUGUCAGACACAUUGUCAUCAUUACAAGAAUCAGACAAAGCACAUACAGAAGUAGAUGAACAACCAGUAGAGGAAGAAGGGGAAGGUGGCACCCAAGACACUUUGUAUAGCCCAGCUUCC
rnacentral:lncRNA from 1 species